CCUACGGGAGGCAGCAGUGGGGAAUAUUGGGCAAUGGGCGCAAGCCUGACUCAGUAACGCCGCGUGAAGGAAGAAGGCUCUCGGGUUGUAAACUUCUUUUAUCAGGGACGAAGCAAGUGACGGUACCUGAUGAAUAAGCCACGGCUAACUACGUGCCAGCAGCCGCGGUAAUACGUAGGUGGCAAGCGUUAUCCGGAUGUACUGGGUGUAAAGGGCGUGUAGGCGGGAAAGCAAGUCAGAUGUGAAAACCAUGGGCUCAACCUGUGGCCUGCAUUUGAAACUGUUUUUCUUGAGUACUGGAGAGGCAGACGGAAUUCCUAGUGUAGCGGUGAAAUGCGUAGAUAUUAGGAGGAACACCAGUGGCGAAGGCGGUCUGCUGGACAGCAACUGACGCUGAGGCGCGAAAGCGUGGGGAGCAAACAGGAUUAGAUACCCCAGUAGUC
rnacentral:rRNA from 1 species